CAGCAGCCACGGUAAUACAGAGGGUGCGAGCGUUAAUCGGAUUUACUGGGCGUAAAGCGUGCGUAGGCGGCUUUUUAAGUCGGAUGUGAAAUCCCUGAGCUUAACUUAGGAAUUGCAUUCGAUACUGGGAAGCUAGAGUAUGGGAGAGGAUGGUAGAAUUCCAGGUGUAGCGGUGAAAUGCGUAGAGAUCUGGAGGAAUACCGAUGGCGAAGGCAGCCAUCUGGCCUAAUACUGACGCUGAGGUACGAAAGCAUGGGGAGCAAACAGGAUUAGAUACCCGCGUAGUCCAUGUCUCUUAUAA
rnacentral:rRNA from 1 species